CCUACGGGUGGCAGCAGUGAGGAAUAUUGGUCAAUGGGCGCGAGCCUGAACCAGCCAAGUCGCGUGAGGGAAGACGGUCCUAUGGAUUGUAAACCUCUUUUGUCGGGGAGCAAAAGACGCCACGCAUGGCGUUCCGAGAGUACCCGAAGAAAAAGCAUCGGCUAACUCCGUGCCAGCAGCCGCGGUAAUACGGAGGAUGCGAGCGUUAUCCGGAUUUAUUGGGUUUAAAGGGUGCGCAGGCGGAAGAGCAAGUCAGCGGUAAAAUUGAGAGGCUCAACCUCAUCGAGCCGUUGAAACUGGUUGUCUUGAGUGAGCGAGAGGUAUGCGGAAUGCGUGGUGUAGCGGUGAAAUGCAUAGAUAUCACGAAGAACUCCGAUUGCGAAGGCAGCAUACCGGCGCUCAACUGACGCUGAUGCACGAAAGUGUGGGUAUCGAACAGGAUUAGAUACCCUUGUAGUC
rnacentral:rRNA from 1 species